rnacentral:rRNA from 1 species
AUUGAACGCUGGCGGCAGGCCUAACACAUGCAAGUCGAACGGCAGCACAGAAGAGCUUGCUCUUUGGGUGGCGAGUGGCGGACGGGUGAGUAAUGUCUGGGAAACUGCCCGAUGGAGGGGGAUAACUACUGGAAACGGUAGCUAAUACCGCAUAACGUCGCGAGACCAAAGUGGGGGACCUUCGGGCCUCACACCAUCGGAUGUGCCCAGAUGGGAUUAGCUAGUAGGUGGGGUAAUGGCUCACCUAGGCGACGAUCCCUAGCUAGUCUGAGAGGAUGACCAGCCACACUGGAACUGAGACACGGCCCAGACUCCUACGGGAGGCAGCAGUGGGGAAUAUUGCACAAUGGGCGCACGCCUGAUGCAGCCAUGCCGCGUGUAUGAAGAAGGCCUUCGGGUUGUAAAGUACUUUCAGCGGGGAGGAAGGCGGUGAGGUUAAUAACCUUGCCGAUUGACGUUACCCGCAGAAGAAGCACCGGCUAACUCCGUGCCAGCCGCCGCGGUAA